GACGAACGCUGGCGGCGUGCUUAACACAUGCAAGUCGAACGGAAAGGCCCUGCUUUUGUGGGGUGCUCGAGUGGCGCACGGGUGAGAAACACGUGAGUAACCUGCCCUUGACUUUGGGAUAACUUCAGGAAACUGGGGCUAAUACAGGAUAGGAGCUCCUGAUGCAUGGUGGGGGUUGGAAAGUUUCGGCGGUUGGGGAUGGACUCGCGGCUUAUCAGCUUGUUGGUGGGGUAGUGGCUUACCAAGGCUUUGACGGGUAGCCGGCCUGAGAGGGUGACCGGGCACAUAGGGACUGAGGUACGGCCCAGACUGCAACGGGGGGCAGCGGUGGGAAAUAUUGCGCAAUGGGCGGAAGCCUGAUGCAGCGGCGCCGGGUGCGGGAUGACGGCUUUCGGGGUAGAAACCGCUUUCGCCUGUGACGAAGCGUGAGUGACGGUAAUGGGUAAAGAAGCACCGGCUAACUACGUG
rnacentral:rRNA from 1 species